GAAAAUCAAAUUCUUAAGAUGAAUCAUUUGAUUGAGUAAAGUUUUUUAUUUUAUUUUUCAUUGUGGUUGUAUAUUGAUAUUGAUUGAGUAAAGUUUUUUUUGGCAUUGUAUGUGUAUUUAAUUAAAAUGUACUAUACAAUUCCUUACACACAAGGAAUGCAGAAUAAAAAGAUUUUAACAAUAAAAUAACAGAUUUUGAAAAACGCAAAUUUAUCGAAUAAAAUUAACUAACUCAAGAUAAGUAACUGCCCAUAACCGAAUUUAAGUAACUGAAAUCUGAUAAUAGAGUUUCUUAGUUUUGUUUCAAUAUUUUUGUUUAAUUUUUGUUUUUUUGAAAUGGUUUGUUUGAUAAGCAGGGUGUAGUGGCUAAUCUGAAGAAUCAAAUACUGUGGUUGCAAAAGGAAAAUCAAAUACUUAAGAUGAAGGUCGAACAAUGAGCUCUAUAAUUUUCUGCACAUUUUUCAUGUCUUCAAUUUAUAUUUUGGCAUUUACUGUUAUUUUGAACUAUUUAUGGUUAUUUUGAAAUAUUUCCUUUUUUAAUAAAUGAUUAACUUGAUACUUUUCCCAAGAAGAAACAUUGGAUUGAAUAAAGUUUUUUAUUUUAUUUUGCAUUAUGGUUAUAUAUUGUUAUUGAUUGAGUAAAGUUUUUCUUUACGUUUUUCAUGUAUUUAAUUAAAAUGUGAUAUACAAUUCCUUACACACAAGGAAGGUAGAAUAACAUAUUUUAACAAUAAAAUAACAGAUUUUGGCAAAUUGAAAGUUAUCCAAUAAAAUUUACUUACUCAAUAUAAGUAACUACCUAUUAUCGAAUUUAACUAAUAACUGAAAUCUGAUAAUAAAAACUAACAAACUAACUCAAUUGUUUAUCUAUAAGUAUUGGCUUCAG
rnacentral:lncRNA from 1 species